UUUUUUUGAACGGUCACCGGGGGGGGAGAGAUUCCCCACCUGAAUAUAUUGCUCAAAGUGGCCAAAAUGCCAAGUGUUUGAUCCAGUUUAUAAGAAAAACCGGAUCGAAAACCUUAACAGGUUGACCCGGUUUAUAAGGGAAACCGUGCCGAAAAACCACACAGGGGGGAAAGAUUACAUAGGGUGAGAGCAUAUGGACGCCCCGAAGAAAGCACUACCUAGCCAGCAAGCCAAGAGACCACCACCAUAAAAGUCGAGAGGAAGUGGUGUGUCAUCGAGGAAACACAAUACCAACACUAAACAACUAUCCUAACGCACCACACCUGCAUGCAUACCAACCCCUUGGCACAACAGAGGAGCAACACCAAUCAACGAGUGACCCAUCACGAACCUUGACUGGAAACUCCGCCACAGCAAGCCGACACGAUUAGCAAGGUGGGGAGGCAUCGUUGCGUCGUUGUUGAGCAAAGAUGAACCGAGAUAGCACGAAGAGCACGAAGCUCACCAAAACGGACGACAGGCAUGAGAGGGUCUUGAGCUAGCAGAGCAGAGGAUGACCAAUCCCCAAGGGCAACGAAGGAUGAAUGGCGGCAAGGAGCUCCCUAGUGACGCCUUCAAGAAGGUGGACGACAUCCGAGGAUGACGCCGUCACAUAGCUUUCGCCUGGAGCAUAACCGGUUAAAUUCCCAGAGGGCAGAGCCGAGAGCUGCGAAUCCGGACCGAGAGACAAGAGUGGCACAUGAGCCACGCCCCAAGAGGGUAAGCGACGCUGGAGUAGCGCCGCCGUGGUCAGCUGACAAGGUCAGCGGGGAUUUCUCCCGUAGCACAUCUGUCAAUGGUGGGCCGCCAUCCAAGUGGAGUCGAAGGGCGACAGAGGACAGGACCGAGACGGACAUAUGAGGCGGAUGGUGAACCGGGGAAGGACGAGUGGAGCAGGCCGCCGGUGGGGAGGGUGGAGACGAGGUGGUGCGUCGUCGGAGGUGGACAGAGGGUGGGGGAGCAUAGGAGGGUCGACGCGGAGGAUGGUGGCGCAGGUCGAGAGCGGCGAGCCCCGGCCUGAUCUGAACGGUGGAGGACGCCGAUGGGCAUGAUGGAAGUGGACUCCGCGCGGCGGUGCGAGAUGGAGCGAGGCAAGAGCUGGUCGGGGCAUGGAGGAGCAAGACCCGGCAUGGAGCCAAGCCGCGCUGGUGCAGGCCAUGCGCAAGAGGGGAAGGUUGAAUCCCAGAGCAGCGGAUGCAGAUCUAGAGCCGAGGCACACAGCUCGGUGCUCGGGGUCGUGGAGCAGAGGCUUGGAGUCGAGGCGCGGGGGAGCUGCGGUGAAGGCGGAGCGCGGCAGGCGAGCUGGAGGGAGGUCGAGGGAGCCCGUUGGAUGCUAGCACGGCGAGCGGCGGCGAGGACCGUCCGCGGCAGAGCAGAUCAAAGCUGCGCUCCCGGCCCAGUCGGAUGGAGGUCGAGGAAGGAUGGGGAAGACCGGCGGAGCCCAUCGCGCCGAGCAGCGACUAGCGCCGGCAGGAGCCGAGCAGAUCGAGGCGGCGCACAGUGAUGAAGCUUUUGGAUCUUGGGGAGGGGGAAGCCUGCGGGCGUGAGAGCAGCCCAAGCAAGGCCCCGCCGCCGCCGUCCGUCGCACAGGGCUUAGCCCGGCGACAUCCUCCGGCGACGGCCAGGGAAGGGAGCGGUGGUGGGGGGUUGGUUUGGUGGUGGCGGCGAGGGGCCUCCGGAGUCGCCACGAGCGACCCGGGAGGCAGCUUGAAACUAGCCCCGUCCCCUAGAG
rnacentral:lncRNA from 1 species